UACGUAGGGGGCUAGCGUUGUCCGGAAUCAUUGGGCGUAAAGCGCGUGUAGGCGGUCCGGUAAGUCCGCUGUGAAAGUCGGGGGCUCAACCCUCGAAUGCCGGUGGAUACUGUCGGGCUAGAGUGCGGAAGAGGCGAGUGGAAUUCCUGGUGUAGCGGUGAAAUGCGCAGAUAUCAGGAGGAACACCGAUUGCGAAGGCAGCUCGCUGGGACGUAACUGACGCUGGAGACGCGAAAGCGUGGGGAGCAAACAGG
rnacentral:rRNA from 1 species